CUCUCCAAAACCCCUCUUUUCUCAGACCCAAAAUCACUUCUGUUCUUUCUCUCCUCUCACCACUCAACUUCAUAGCCAAACCAUUCCCUUUCGCUGUUUAACCAAAAUCCAAUCUUUGAACACAAACAAAGCCCAUAAUUUUCGUCGGUUUUCCGGGAAAGCAAUUGGGUUUUUGUUUGAAAGGAAGUUAAGGGUCGUGUGAGUGCAAAAGAGGAUGGCGUUGAUGAAGCUGAGGAGGAAAGUAGAAGGGAGAGUACUAUGCCGGAGCGGUUUAGGUACUUGACCGAAGAAGCUCCUGACCCUCCUGUGAGGUGGCCUUGGUUUCUGGAGGUUUAGGACGCUACUAGGCAAUUACAAGUGCUGGCAAAGUGUAAUGGAGUGGAAGCAGAUGGUUGAGGUGAAUUGGUGCGGUAAAUGGUAGCAACAAGUAAACGGAUGGAUGGAAGAGGCAUGGAAAACAGAGAGAUGGACAACAGACAUGUAUAAAAGAGUUCAUGAUGCGACCCCAAGCAAAAGUGGAAGUUCAUGCAGUUCAGACGACAAGGAGUUUCAUGCUUAAGCGACUCGUAUUGGAUAAGCCACCACUUAUCACAAAACCCAAAAAACCAACAGAGCCCCAUGUUUCAUCUAGCCUUUGCAGAGCCCAAAUCAAGAUUCAAGCGUGAAGGUUGCAGUCGCCGAAAUCAAUAUGAGGAGUUGACGAAGGCUUAGCCUUCGCAGAAACCAUACCAAUAUCGAUGGUGUAUGCGAAGAUGAUGAAGGCGUUGAGGACAUGCUGGAAGAUCUUCAGUUAGCGAAUCUGAAGAUUUAUCUCAUCCUAUCUCCCAUCAUCUUGGCCGGAGCAUCCAAGAGGCUUUCCAAUUUAGUGUCAGGGUUUUGUUUCCUUUCCCAGUUCUGAGGGCUACGGUAUAAUAUUUGGGCAGUUUUGGUUGGAUGGGAGGUGGUACAGAUGUGCCUACCAGAAAAAUUCUCAGGUAGUUUUGAUUGGAUAGGGGAAUAUGUACCUACUAGACAAGGCUUGUUGAACCUUCAACUGUUAUGCUAUAUUUUCCAAAUGAAGUUAUUGUAUGUAUAUGCAUAUAUUCAAGUAUACUGUUGAUUUA